AUUGAACGCUGGUGGCAGGCCUAACACAUGCAAGUCGAGCGGAUGAAGGGAGCUUGCUCCUGGAUUCAGCGGCGGACGGGUGAGUAAUGCCUAGGAAUCUGCCUGGUAGUGGGGGAUAACGUCCGGAAACGGGCGCUAAUACCGCAUACGUCCUGAGGGAGAAAGUGGGGGAUCUUCGGACCUCACGCUAUCAGAUGAGCCUAGGUCGGAUUAGCUAGUUGGUGGGGUAAAGGCCUACCAAGGCGACGAUCCGUAACUGGUCUGAGAGGAUGAUCAGUCACACUGGAACUGAGACACGGUCCAGACUCCUACGGGAGGCAGCAGUGGGGAAUAUUGGACAAUGGGCGAAAGCCUGAUCCAGCCAUGCCGCGUGUGUGAAGAAGGUCUUCGGAUUGUAAAGCACUUUAAGUUGGGAGGAAGGGCAGUAAGUUAAUACCUUGCUGUUUUGACGUUACCAACAGAAUAAGCACCGGCUAGCUUCGUG
rnacentral:rRNA from 1 species